CCGUCAAGGAGUCGGCUAAGGUAGCAGUAUGCCACAUCAGCCAAUAUGUUAAAAAAAAUUAGAAAAAAAAAAAGUUGAAAAAGGUAUGUAAAAACACUCAAAGCGCCUUCGUCUGCAUUUGAAAUAUCUCAGAUUUCGUUUUUCCCUCAUCUUCGUGUGGGAGUGCCACUGGUCUUCAUCUUUGUGUGGGAGUAAGUUGAAGGAGUUCAUCUUCGUCUAGUCCCUCGUCUGGUUCUCGUCACUGUGGGUCUUCAUGUGGGUCGUCCUCUUCAUGGAUAUUCGCGUGGGUCGUCAAGUGGGAUUAAAGGGACAACUCACAGCACUCAUCCGCUGCCAGUACACCUCAACCGAAUGCUCAAUAGAAUGUCUCACAACAGCAAGGCAAAAAUCGUGUGAUGCCACCUUAGAAUGCUAAGGAAAAUAAAUGUGGAAACAUCUAGAAUUUCUUUGCAAAAUCUGAUUGGUAUUUGAUUUCCUCUCUAUAAAUAUUGUACAGCACAGUGUGCUUAAGAUGACUUGUCUUCAUAAAGCUAUAUCGUUUCUCUUUACUUGACAUCCUCAGAGGCGAUGAUUAGAAGAUUAUGUGACUUCUUUCAACAUGGUCUCCAAAAUGUUGUCUAAGAUGGAAUCUAGCAACCCAAUAUUCAUUUAGUUUUUAAUAUUACUUUUAGUUUGAAAUUUAAAAAAGUUUGAUUGACAAA